AGCAGCUUCAGUUGCCUAGGGAACCGCGCAGCCUCCCCUGGGCUACCCCUGGAUGGGCGGCUUUGUGAAGCGGCUCCCCUCGGAACCUCGGCAGCUAGCGGCCGAGUCUGCGCCAGUCCUUUUCCUCUGUAGGGCCUCGGAGACCAGAAGGAAGAAUCCAUAGCUGUUGACGCCAGAGCAUCCGCUGCCCACCAGCGGUGCCUAGUUUUCAUGUCCUGAGCACCCGGAUCUGCGACCCUCUGUAGGCCGAGUUCGACCAUACCUCGGAGGCGAGCUUUCUCACCAAAGGCACCGGUUGCAGAGGCCGGAAAUAAAAUAAAGUGUCGAAUGAAAUAGGAGGAAGGUGUGCGU